AUUUACUUUUGUGAUUCCAUUUUAACGGUAAAACUAAUUAAAGUAACAAGGACACCAUGGUCGAAUUCUUUAAAAAAAAAAAGGAAGAGAAUGAAUUGUAGUCAAAAAAGAAAUCUUAGUUGUAAAAAUGGAAAUGCACAGAAACCCAUGUAUUUUGCAGAGAAAUCAAAGGUCAUUGCUUUAGGCGUUCAUCCAUAGGAAACGAAAGUUAGGUGGUAUAAUUGUCUAGUGAUUUGGAAAUCCAGCUUUAGAUUUUGGUGUUGGUUGACCCAGACACGUCCCUUUGUCUUUGCUUCCCCCUUUGGCCAAUUGCCAUAUUUU
rnacentral:lncRNA from 1 species